AUCUACAUAGUAUAAAAAGUAUAUUU
rnacentral:tRNA from 1 species